AAAAUUCUGAAAUUGUGUGUCAUGAAAUUCUGACAUGUUUUUGCACAUUUUCUCGCAUGUUUUUUAAUUUUAAAUGUUGAGUUGGUUUGUUGAUAAAUAUGACUGUUGGAAAUGCGGUCUGGUACAUCAAGUUUUAGAUGGAAACAAUUUUGAACCUCUGCCAACACAAACAAGUUUCCAAUAGCGGUGAUGAGCCUCUAACAUGUAAGGAGAAAUCCCCAGUUGGGUUUCUUUAAUGAAAUUUGCUUGUUACGCUUGGCUUCUGAGCUCUUAAAAUUCUGAAGUUGUGUCAUGAAUUCUUUUCCUUUUUGCACAUUUUCUCGCAUGUUUUUGCACAUUUUCUCGCAUGUUUUUUAAUUUUAAAUGUUGAGUUGGUUUGUUGAUAAAUAUGACUGUUGGAAAUGCGGUCUGGUACAUCAAGUUUUAAAUGGAAACAAUUUUGAACCUCUGCCAACACAAACAAGUUUCCAAUAGCGGUGAUGAGCCUCUAACAUGUAAGGAGAAAUCCCCAGUUGGGUUUCUUUAAUGAAAUUUGCUUGUUACGCUUGGCUUCUGAGCUCUUAAAAUUCUGAAGUUGUGUCAUGAAUUCUUUUCCUUUUUGUAGGGGGACUUCCCUGUUAUUUGUCAAUGGGAUGGAAUAAAAGAUGUGUAAUUUCCGAAAGCUAUUUCUAUUCUUAUGUGACAAUAAUUUGUUUUCCUUGGUAGCAGGCUAGCUGCAUUUAUAUUUGCUGUCAAUUCCAGUAGCUAAAUAUGCUUUGAAACUCAGCAUCAGCUUCUCAUCUUUUGACAAUAAUGCUUUUUGGGUUUAACUUCCUUUCCCCCCCAGAAACUGCCCCCAAGUGGAUGGGAAAAAUUUAUAUUGCACUUGAAUUUAAAAUAAUUUGAUGCAUCGAACCUUGUUUUGUACGAGUUAUUUUUAGUAGUUAAACAUAUCUUCUUGUCUCUCUAGUUUUUAGUAGUUGGUGUAAUUUAUAUUUGUUGCUUACUUAACAUGCUGAAGAUCCUUAGGCAUUUGUACAACAUAAGUGGAAUUUCUGUGACAUGUUGUACAUUUCCUCAUAUUCUUUUAAAAUUAAAUGAAUGGAUUGGCUUGUUGAG
rnacentral:lncRNA from 1 species